CAACAGCGUAUAUUAAAGUUGUUGCAGUUAAAACGCUCGUAGUCGGAUUUCGGGGCGGGCGGGCCGGUCUGCCGAUGGGUAUGCACUGGUCUGGCCGUCCUUCCUUCCGGAGACCGUGCGUGCUCUUAACUGAGUGCGCUCGGGAGACGGAUCGUUUACUUUGAAAAAAUCAGAGUGUUUCGAGCAGGCAGCUCGCUCUUGCAUGGAUUAGCAUGGGAUAAUGAAAUAGGACUUUGGUGCUAUUUUGUUGGUUUCGAACACCGAAGUAAUGAUUAACAGGGACAGUCAGGGGCACUCGUAUUCCGCCGAGAGAGGUGAAAUUCUCAGACCAGCGGAAGACGAACCACUGCGAAAGCAUUUGCCAGGGAUGUUUUCACUG
rnacentral:rRNA from 1 species